CAGGACCUGCUGAACCUGGGGCCCUAUAGGAGAGCACUGAUGGCCCACCCCUGAUUGUGGCCCUGGUCUUCAUGUCUGCAUCAGCCUCAGCCAUCUCAAGACCACAACAGGAACAUAGCCAAGUCAGAGAAGGAAGACCAAAAGCACCAGGGCCCUUCAUAUUAUUAAGCUGCUAAAUUAACUAAUCUUGGAAACUUCUAGACUCUACAAUUCUUGUUGUAUGAGGUUUAACAAGUUCAAGAGAGAAGAUAUUGGCCAAAUACAACACAGAGGCUAAACACAACACCUAUGUUGAUUGUUUGGUGCAUAAGAAUUGAGAUGAUGGAAAGAGGUCACUGUGAGCUUCAGGAAUAGCUUGAGGCUAACUGAUAAAACAGAGUGGAUUGACAAUUAUUCUCUGGACUUUUUGGUAACCAAGAACUUCUAGCAACUAACCCUGGCAUGACCACCAGAAUCUGCAGGGCUGAGAGAAGAAAGAAAGGCAAAAGUGGAUGAAUGCAGCUGAAGAUGCUGUGGAACUCCUAUCACAUUCCAAGUGCUGUGUUGAUAUCUGGAGAUAUAGACAAGAUCGAAGCAGAUGCAGUCUUUCACAUGAAUAUUUGAAUCAGGCAUUAAUGGAAUGGCUUCAAUAAUACAGUAAAAUUAAGAUAUUCAAACAAGCAGGAUGCAGGUGAUGGGUAUUGGCCUCAGCUUUAGAGACCAGAGGUUAAAUCUCAGUGCUGCCUGCCACAAAACGAUCCAUGUAAGUCAAUAAACAAUGCUUUUUAAAAUAUU
rnacentral:lncRNA from 10 species